UUUGAUGCAAUUCCCAGCUCCAAUUGUUCUGUUGCUGCCUUUUUCUUCUUCUCCUGUCUUUUCUUUUUCUUUUUUCCGAUGCCAAGAGAAAAAGCCAGUGGAGACUGAGGACUUGUGUAGCAAAUUUGGAGAACUCCCUUCUUUUCCUCGUCUGAUGCCUUUGGAGAAAACUGAGAGGGAGUCUUUUUCUGCUAGUUUUGUCUUGGAGGAAAAAGAGAGGACCGAGAGCUUUUCCUUGAGCCCAAAAGUGGAGUUUUAUUCUUCUCUUUUUUUUUUUUUUUU
rnacentral:lncRNA from 1 species